rnacentral:rRNA from 1 species
AGAGUUUGAUCAUGGCUCAGAACGAACGCUGGCGGCAGGCUUAACACAUGCAAGUCGAACGCCCCGCAAGGGGAGUGGCAGACGGGUGAGUAACGCGUGGGAAUCUACCCAUCUCUGCGGAAUAGCUCUGGGAAACUGGAAUUAAUACCGCAUACGCCCUACGGGGGAAAGAUUUAUCGGGGAUGGAUGAGCCCGCGUUGGAUUAGCUAGUUGGUGGGGUAAAGGCCUACCAAGGCGACGAUCCAUAGCUGGUCUGAGAGGAUGAUCAGCCACAUUGGGACUGAGACACGGCCCAGACUCCUACGGGAGGCAGCAGUGGGGAAUAUUGGACAAUGGGCGCAAGCCUGAUCCAGCCAUGCCGCGUGAGUGAUGAAGGCCCUAGGGUUGUAAAGCUCUUUCACCGGUGAAGAUAAUGACGGUAACCGGAGAAGAAGCCCCGGCUAACUUCGUGCCAGCAGCCGCGGUAAUUC